UCACUUGAAUUGGGGAGGCGGAGGUUGCAGUGAGCUGAGAUCAUGCCACUGCACUCCUGCCUGAGUGACAGAGUGAGACUCCAUCUCAAAAAUAAAUAAAUAAGAACUUAUUCUCAAGUCUGAUCUCUAUUCCAAGCUUAUGUUAAUUUGUACAACUGGUGAACUGCCCACAUGACAACUAUAUCUGGAAAUCUCACAGAUGAGCCCAAGUCAAGAUAUGGAAAUGUGACGACUUCAAUGAGGCUGUUGCUAGUUGUAUUAGCCUGGAUGCCUUUCGGAAGCAUGUUCACAGGAGUGAAGCUGUUGCUGAAGGCUAGCCUGGAACCGAUGUCAGUGGAAACCAAUUUAAAACUGAUACAGUAGCCUAUUGCCUGAAGUAUAAUGGACUUUCAAAGGAAAAUGUCAGCAUUAACAGACAGCUACUCUAAAUGGACCAGGUAGUGUUGCUUCAAGGUUAUUUGAAGGUCAUCCCUACCUCAUAACUGAAGACCUCAGACUGAAAAAGUGUAAGGAUUUCUCUGUGACCAAGUAACCACACCUUUUCAGAGCUGAAGGACAAGUAUGUGGAUGAGUAUCUAAAUGUUAGUGCCAUCCUCAUGCCUCACCCAGAUGGUGACCAGUUUUGGAAAAACUGGACAAAUAGUUUACAUCACAGAAAUUUGCUCAGCCUUCCUGGAUAAUAGUAGCCUUCUUUUACUUCAGUACUGCGUAAAUUUAUCCCAGCAACAUAGUUUAUCAUCACCCAGAAUAUUCUCAAAGAUUGGAAUAGUUUCUAUAAUAAACUUAGUUACAAUAAGUAUAGAUUUACAGAAUAAUUGAGAAAAAAAUACAAAAAUUUCUCAUAUAUACGAUACUUAGUUUCUCUUGUUAUUUAACUUCUUACAUAUUGGUAUGAUACAUUUGUUAUGCAUAGUUAGCCAAUAUUAUCUAAGAUCCUGAUUUAUUAAUGUUUCUUUAAUUGUUUUGUUUUUGUUGUAGGUGAUGUUUUCUGUUUUUUUUCGUUUGGUCCAUUUUGACGACCUGGGCAGUUUUGAGCAGUACUGGUUGGGUAUUUUGUAGAAUAUCCUCAAAUGAGAUUUGUCUGUUUUUUUUUGUUGUUGUUGUUUUCUUUUCCCUCUCUCCUUUUUUUUUUUUUUUUUUUUCAUAUUUGACUGGCUGUUUAGGAAGACCCCAGGAAUAAAGUGUUAUUCUCAUGACAUCAUAUCAAAAGUACAUAUGCUACACAACAUCACUAUUGAUGUUAACAUUGAUCACCUGGCUGAGAUAGCAUUUGUCAAGUUUUUUCAAUGAACAUUUACUCCUUUCUCUUCCUUUCCAUAUUAUAACUCAUUGGAAGGGAAUCAUUAUGUGCAACUCCUACACGAGGAGCAGAGAAUUCUGCUCCAUCUCUUUGAUGGCCAAGUAUCUAUAUAAAUUAUUUGAAAUUCUCCUGCAUGGGAGAUGUUUCUAUUGUUACCCACUUAUUUUUUAUUCAACAAUUUAUAUCAAUAUGGACUACUCUAUGUGAUACUGUAAGCAGAUCUUGUACUUUGGGUAAUAAUUGAGCACUACUUAUUCCUUAGUUUGUUACUUGGAUUGUUUCAGAUAUAGCCACUGAACUCAGUUGGCUCUUUUGUUUCUUUAAUGUAUUUCCAUUACUGUGGGGUUUUGUUUGUUUGUUGGAGCACAUCUUUACUUUCUGACCCUGCAAGAUUCUCCAGGCUUAUCUCCUGUCAUAGUCGUAGAAAAAACCAUUUCUCUAAGGAUCCCUGGUUCCUUUUAUAGGGGGAUGGCAUUAGAAACUUAGAUUUGAAUAUUAGAUGUGCUUGUUGCUAUUGGAAUACUAUUUCUUCUAGACCCUCUUUACUAACAGAAUGGGGAAAUAUAUUUGUGUAUAAUAACCUGUGAAUGUACAUAUAUACAUAAUUAUUCCUAUGUGCAACCAUCUGUGUCUAUAUUAAGCUAAACAUGAGUUUACACUGAUAUUCUACUGUAUGGAUAUGCAAUCAUUUGUUUUUGUAUUUACCCGCUGAUUUAGGUAUUUUUUGUUUACUAGGUUGUAUCCAGUGGUAGGAAAUUUUUAUAUUUGUUUUUGUAUUUACCUGUUGAAGAAGGUAUUUUCUAUUUACUUGGUUAUAGCUACUCGUAGGAAAUUAUAAAUUAAGCUGCAUUAAACAUUUAUGUGUAGGUUUUUGGUUUUUGUGUGAACAUGAGUUUUCCAAUCAGAUUAGUAAAUAAAUAAAGGCACAAUUGCUGGGUUAUGGUAAGAUUAUGCUUAGUUUUUCUAGAAACUGUUACUUUGUCUUCCAAAAGGCUAUCCCAUUUUUAUUCUCACUAGCCUUGGUGAGAGUUCUUAAUGCCCUAAAAACUUGUCAGCAAUUAGUAAUGGCCUUUUUGGGUUAUGAUCAUCCUAAUUGGCUUAUAGCAAUAUCUCACUGUUAUUUUCAUUUGAAAUUCUUUAAUGAAAAAUAAUGUUGAACAUCUUUACAUAUGCUUAUUUGCAAUUUGUAUAUCUUCUUUGGUGAAGUGUUUGUUCAGAUUGUUUUCCAUUUUUAAUUGGGUUGAUUUUUAUGUCGAGUCUUGAAAGUUCUUUGCAUAUUUUGGACAGUUUUUUAUCAGAUAAUUCUUGCAAAUACUGUCUCCAAUCUGUGAUUCAUCUUUCGGUUCUCUUAACAAAGUCUUUCACAGAUCAGAAGUGUUUAAUUUUAAUAAAGUCCAAUUUAACAUG